rnacentral:rRNA from 1 species
UACGUAGGGUGCGAGCGUUGUCCGGAAUUACUGGGCGUAAAGAGCUCGUAGGUGGUUUGUCGCGUUGUUCGUGAAAUCUCACGGCUUAACUGUGAGCGUGCGGGCGAUACGGGCAGACUGAGUACUGCAGGGGAGACUGGAAUUCCUGGUGUAGCGGUGGAAUGCGCAGAUAUCAGGAGGAACACCGGUGGCGAAGGCGGGUCUCUGGGCAGUAACUGACGCUGAGAAGCGAAAGCGUGGGGAGCGAACAGG